CGUGGUCAACCUACCGUUGAGUGGGGAUAACUAGCCGAAAGGUUAGCUAAUACCGCAUACGUCUCCGAGAGGCAUCUCUUGGCGAUAAAGGAGCAAUCCGCUCGAUGACGGGACCGCGUCCCAUUAGCUAGAUGGUGGGGUAACGGCCUACCAUGGCUCCGAUGGGUAGCUGGUUUGAGAGAGCGACCAGCCACACUGGGACUGAGAAACGGCCCAGACUCCUACGGGAGGCAGCAGUGAGGAAUUUUCCGCAAUGGGGCGAAAGCCUGACGGAGCGACGCCGCGUGUGGGAAGAAGGCC
rnacentral:rRNA from 1 species